CAAGAAAAUCCUCGAAAGACACUCGACCGUCUUUUUGAGAUGAAAACACAUGGAAAAUGCGAUCACAAAAUGGGUUGAACUAAAAAACAUUAGAUCCAACAACAAUUAUUGUGGCCUUACAAUUCGUUAAUUAUACGAAACC